GAUGAUUCUCGUUUUUCUUAAUAAUAUUUAAUGAAAACAAUAAAAGUAUAAUUUUCUCCUUAUAUUCUUGACAACUACGUUUAAACAAUUGGAGCAUCAAGAUAUGAAGAAUAAUUUUGAGCUAGCAUUGAUUUUCUUUUGUUUUCCCAAUACGAGAGUUAAGAAAUAUUUUCUUGCAGUCAGAUUCUUCAUUUUGCUAAGGAUCAUGGGAAAUUACUCCCAUCAUCCUUUGCUGCGAUUUUGAACUGGGAGUCACAGUUGCAAGUCACAGUGCUCCAGCUCUGCAGUUUUUUUUGCCUCAAAUGUCCUUUAGUUCUUACAUUAACAGGGAACAAAUAUGAUGUGUUUUGCAAAGAUUAUUUUCUGCAUCAUGUGGGACCUUGCAUACAACGUGGCUACCUUUUUUAGAGUUUCAAAAUGCUACUGAAGCCAAGGCCAAGCCGGAUGCCCCCCUCCCCCAUGCAGGCUCAGAAACCUACUGGUACAAGGAGGAUGUUCCCAUCUCAACUUUGGAAAAGCCCUUAACAAGGAGAAGUCUUCAUUAUAACUACAGCAACAGCAACAUUGUAGCUCUAAUGGUUUCAGAUAAGGACAAUUAGUUAUAGUUGGCUGCACGGUACUGUAUCAGGAAAAAAUGUCAAUAAGCAAGCGUAGUUGCAAAAUGGUUGAUUUUUGCAAUCUUUGGUAAGGAAUGAGUAAUCGAGGAAAACACCACAAAACUUGUAUGAAUCAUAUUGAUGAUAAUAAAUAUGAUUGCCAUCAUGUAUUGACAUAAAUGUCAA